rnacentral:tRNA from 1 species
GGACUGGGGCUCAGAGGUAGAGUGCUUGCCUAGCAUGUGUGAGGCACUGGGUUCGAUUCUCAGCACUACA